GACGAACGCUGGCGGCGUGCUUAACACAUGCAAGUCGAGCGGUAAGGCCCUUUCGGGGGUACACGAGCGGCGAACGGGUGAGUAACACGUGGGUGACCUGCCCUCAGCUCUGGGAUAAGCCUGGGAAACCGGGUCUAAUACUGGAUAUGACUCCAUGACGCAUGUUGUGGGGUGGAAAGCCUUGUGCGGCUGAGGAUGGGCCCGCGGCCUAUCAGCUUGUUGGUGGGGUGANGGCCUACCAAGGCGACGACGGGUAGCCGGCCUGAGAGGGCGACCGGCCACACUGGGACUGAGACACGGCCCAGACUCCUACGGGAGGCAGCAGUGGGGAAUCUUGCGCAAUGGGCGAAAGACCUGACGCAGCGACGCCGCCGUGAGGGAGUG
rnacentral:rRNA from 1 species